UACGGAGGGGGCUAGCGUUGUUCGGAAUUACUGGGGCGUAAAGCGCACGUAGGCGGUCUUUGUAAGUUAGAGGUGAAAGCCCGGGGCUCAACUCCGGAAUUGCCUUUAAGACUGCAUCGCUAGAAUUGGUGGAGAGGGUAAGUGGAAUUCCGAAGUGUAGAGGUGAAAUUCGUAGAUAUUCGGAAGAACACCAGUGGCGAAGGCGACUUACUGGACACAUAUUGACGACUGAGGUGGGCGAAAAGCGUGGGUACGCAAACGGG
rnacentral:rRNA from 1 species